UGGAUACAGAAGCCUAACAAGGUAACCAAGAGAUGAGAAACAAACUGGAUGAUAGAUAAUUGUUUUUAGUGUAUUUUACAGAUGAUUUAAGACAAGGGUCAAAACUGACCUGUUAACAUAAGAAAUGGUAACAGAAAGCAAACACAAGAGGAAGGUUAAACAGCAAAGCAUGC